GGCGGGGCGCCCCGAGGUGCUGCCCCCGGCUGGCCCCAGCUCUGGUCUCGGUCCUGGCCCCUAUCCUGACCCCAAUCCCGGUCCCGAUCCCGGCCCUCACCCGCCCAUGAGGGGCCGCACCGGGGAGAGGAGGGUGCGCGACCUCCCCGCCGCCGUUGGGAGCGGGUGUGGGGGCCGCCGAGGUUCCCCGGAGGUUUUCGUUGUCGACGCUGAAGGUUGUGAAAUGAGGCGUUCGGCAAAGCGCUGGAGGAGAGGCGGCAGCUGCUCUUGAGGACAGAAGAGGGGUGAUGGGCAGGCUUUGCCCUUGCCCUGGGAUGUUGUCCCUGGGUGUUAUGGACCCUUCAUCACAAGAACAGCAUCUCUCUUUGGAUCAUGCAUUUUGUACACUCAAUAAAUCACACAUUUCUGUAUGCACCCAUGUGUGUGGGCCUGGGAGUUUCAUGAGAUGUUCAAACACACUGGGGUGAAGUUCGCCAGCUUGCCGUACUCAUGGAGCCCUUCCCAAGAGUCUCUCAAAGCCGCACUCCUCCACAGUCGUACAUCAGGGCUGCUGGAAGUGGAGUUGAAUGGUCAUAGAAAGAUCAAGUCAGUGACAAGAUAAAGCUGUGUGUUGCACGACGUGGCAAAGGGCUCCUGGUGUGCAUGCAGUUCGUGUUAGGAAUGCUGUUAUUGUGGCAUAACUUAAUUCCCCGAUUCCCCUAACCCUCUUCCCCCUGGACAGCAAGAAAAUGGUCAAAAAUGCAGAGAUGUCCAAAAGAUUUUAAGGUGCUUAGGUAUGUCAGCUGGAGUCCACACACCAAAGGGCUGAAGUUAGUCCGCUGAAAUUCUCAUGCGACCCUAAUUGAAACAGGAGGAAGGAGAAUGGAGAAAACUGGAAAGAAGAAGGAAACAAGGAGAAAAUACGCAAUAGAGUAUGAGAAAGGAAAAAGGAGAACAUGUGGAAGGCAAAAGAACUGCCUCGGUUAGGAGGUAUCCAGAGACACCUAUCUGUAAAACUUUGACUCAUGCCAAAUGGAUGCUCUUGUGAGACUGCCCACAGAAAUUUACAUGGCCCUUAAGCAGUCCUUCCUACUAGCUUGUACAAUGCUCGAUGAAAAUACAUCUGCCAGAGGUUCCUGGCAGCUUAAAAAGCAGGACUGGAGAAACCACAAAAUCCACAAGCAUGUUACGUGAUCAGCAUCGCAUUUUUUUUUUUUUUUCAUGGGAUUCCCCAGUUAUGUAAAGGCAACAUUAAGAAGACAAAAGGAUUGCCAAACUGUAGUAGUAAAAAAAAAAAAAAAAAAAAAAAGUAAUCGUGCUAGAAGAGAGAUCAAGUAGAAGGUGGUAGAAGGUGGCACAAUACACAUUUUAAAAAUAAUGAAUGGUAUAGGGAAACUACAAUAACUUAUUUUAAAGCAAAAAUGGGGGGUGUUUCGUGAAGUUGUAAGGCAGAACUCUUAAUUAAUAGGAAAAGAAGGGUUUCAUGAUGCAUGAUUAUUGCAGGAAAAUUAUUCCCAGGUGCUAUCAUUUGGCUCAAGAGCUUUGCAAAACUUGAAAAGCCAUUGGCCAUAUAAAUGAAUAAUGUGAACAUCUAUCAUUGCCUUACUUAAGGAUUUAAAAUUAAAGUUAAAAAGGGUAAGGUAUGAAAAAAACUCAAAGCAAGUGACUGAAAGCAUUAAGCAAGAAGUUUCCCAUAGGGUGAACUAUGAUAUAAUUCUACUUCUGGUGUUCUCGCACCUUCUUCUGAAUCACCUGCAAGUGGUUAGGAUAUUCCAACAGCAGGAACAGUAGUCUGACACGUUAUAGCAGUGUUUCACUUGUGUGUUCCUGACCCUGAACAUCUGUGCUUCAUAACUGGAAGGUAUUUGAUUAAAUUUUGAAACUGUACUCUUCUC